ACCCUGAGAUCAAGACCUGAGCUGGAAUCAAGAGUUGGAUGCUUAACUGAGCCACCCAGGAUUUACCAAAAAUCAGAAGAAUUUACAUUGACCUAAACAACUGUUAACUUCUAUAAUCAACUAAUUACCUAAAGAAAGCACCAAGCCCAAGUAAGUCUAAUUCUUCCAGGCAAAAUGCUCAGGAAGAAUGACCAAACCCAGCGGAAAAGACGACGUGGGAAACUAGCUUUGGCACAUGUUUCAACGUUGCCUUUGACUGUAAUGGUGCGCUCUGGAUUAUACAGCGUCAAUUCCUGCAAUCUGCAGAAUGAAAAAGAGGAGAAAGAAAAAGAAUGGAAAUUACAGGAGGAAGACAGUUAAUUAAACUUCAGCCACAGAUGGCAACUAAAACCCAACUAUGGUGCCUGGCGACAUGUAAAAAUGGGUGAUCAGACAUGAACAAUGAGUAAGCCCCCCAAAGACAUGAAUCCAAGAACUGUAAAGCUGCAGAAGAAAAUACUUCCCCCUCCUACCUUCUCAAUAAAAAUUACUGGGUGUACACAGUUCAAUGAAGUCCAUGUUUGAAACACAGUGUACUUCUUGCCCAAUUAAGGUGAACCUUUUUCAC